rnacentral:rRNA from 1 species
AGCGAACAUUGGCGGUAGGCUUAACACAUGCAAGUCGAGCGAGGCGUAAUAGUCGAGCGGCGAACGGGUGAGUAAUACAUGGGAAUCUACCUCGAAGUGGGGGAUAACGUUCAGAAAUGGACGCUAAUACCGCAUAAUCCAUAUUGGGAAAGCGCGCUGCGCUUUGAGAUGAGCCCAUGGCUGAUUAGCUUGUUGGUGAGGUAAAAGCUCACCAAGGCGACGAUCAGUAGCUGGUCUGAGAGGAUGAUCAGCCACACUGGAACUGAGACACGGCCCAGACUCCUACGGGAGGCAGCAGUGGGGAAUUUCGGACAAUGGGCGAAAGCCUGAUCCAGCCAUGCCGCGUGCGGGAAGAAGGCCUUCGGGUUGUAAACCGCUUUUGUCAGGGAAGAAAUCUUCUGAGUUAAUACCUCGGGAGGAUGACGGUACCUGAAGAAUAAGCACCGGCUAACUACGUGCCAGCAGCCGCCGUAA